GUCUACGACAUAUCACGUUGAAAACACGGUUCUCGUCCGAAUCACGAAGUUAAGCAACGUUCGAGCCGCGUUAGUACUGAUGGUGACAGCCUGGGAAUACCGGAGUGGUGUAGAAC
rnacentral:rRNA from 1 species